rnacentral:rRNA from 1 species
CCUACGGGAGGCAGCAGUGAGGAAUAUUGGUCAAUGGGCGAGAGCCUGAACCAGCCAAGUCGCGUGAAGGAUGACGGCCCUACGGGUUGUAAACUUCUUUUGUCAGGGAGCAAUUGGGUCCACGCGUGGGCUUAGCGAGAGUACCUGAAGAAAAAGCAUCGUCUAACGCCGUGCCAGCAGCCGCGGUAAUACGGAGGAUGCGAGCGUUAUCCGGAUUUAUUGGGUUUAAAGGGUGCGUAGGCGGAAUUUCAAGUCAGCGGUAAAAAUUCGGGGCUCAACCCCGUCGUGCCGUGGAAACUGGUGGUCGUGAGUGUGCGGGAAGUAUGCGGAAUGCGUGGUGUAGCGGUGAAAUGCAUAGAUAGCACGCAGAACUCCGAUUGCGAAGGCAGCAUACCGGCGCCCAACUGACGCUGAAGCACGAAAGCGUGGGGAUCGAACAGGAUUAGAUACCCCAGUAGUC